rnacentral:lncRNA from 1 species
AUAAGAGAAUAAAAGAAAAUAUAGAAAAACUCAAGAAUUGUGUUCUUGAUCUCCAAAUCUCCUUGAAUCCUGCAAAUUCUUCUUAGCUUCAAUCACUCUGUGGCUUGACUCUCAAAUGUUAAUAUGGUAUUUCUUUUUUCUUUUUCUUUUUCCUCUGAAAGAUUGUUUUUAUAAGCUUUAGUUAGGUCAAGUUGGGUGUAGAAAGAAGUCAAUUUCAGCUAGGAUUUUCUCAUCAGACUAUGUGAGUCGUAGCUUUGCCCAAUUAAUUAAUAGAAAUCGUAAUUGCUCUAGGACUGCAGCAGUAUGUAAAUUUCAAUAAGAUUUUUGACCACAUUUCAUGCCGAACUGGGUAAAGUUAUAAACAUAAAAGUUGUAUAUUUUUCUCCUAUCUUUCUAAUGGUCCAAGAAUUGCUU